rnacentral:snRNA from 1 species
GGAUGUGAGGGCGAUCUGGCUUUGACAUGUCAUCCCACUGAUCGCCAGGGUUGAUUCGGCUGAUCGGGCUGGCUAGGUAGGUGUUUCCUUCCUCCCUCACCACUCCAUGUGUGUCCCUCCCGAAACUGCAGGCUCAGUCAAAGAGGAUGGCCUUCCCAGAUUAGAGAUGGACCGGUCUUUCAUCCGGUGAUAACU